CCCUUAGAUGUUCUGGGCCGCACGCGCGCUACACUGACUGGUGCAACAAGUGUCGCUCCUUGGCCGAUAGGCCUGGGCAAUCUUUGAACGCCAGUCGUGAUGGGGAUAGAUUCUUGCAAUUAUUAAUCUUCAACGAGGAAUUCCUAGUAAACGCAAGUCAUCAGCUUGCAUUGAUUACGUCCCUGCCCUUUGUACACACCGCCCGUCGCACCUACCGAUUGAAUGGUCCGGUGAAAUCCUCGGAUCGAGCCGUGGGGCAACUCCGGUUCGAGAAGUUGAUUAAACCUUACCAUUUAGAGGAAGGUGAAGUCGUAACA
rnacentral:rRNA from 1 species